rnacentral:rRNA from 1 species
CCUACGGGAGGCUGCAGUCGAGAAUCAUUCGCAAUGGGGGAAACCCUGAUGGUGCGACGCCGCGUGGGGGAAUGAAGGUCUUCGGAUUGUAAACCCUUGUCAUGUGGGAGCGAAUUAAAAAGUUAGUACCACAUGAGGAAGAGACGGCUAACUCUGUGCCAGCAGCCGCGUGAAUACAGAGGUCUCAUGCGUUGUUCGGAAUCACUGGGCGUAAAGCGUGGGUAGGCUGUUUCGUAAGUCGUGUGUGAAAGGCGGGGGCUCAACCCGCGGACGGCACAUGAUACUGCGAGACUAGAGUAAUGGAGGGGCAAACGGAAUUCUCGGUGUAGCAGUGAAAUGCGUAGAUAUCGAGAGGAACACUCGUGGCGAAGGCGGGUUCCUGGACAUUAACUGACGCUGAGGCGCGAAGGCCAGGGGAGCGAAAGGGAUUAGAUACCCUGGUAGUC